GGCAAACGGGUGCGGAACACGUACGCAACUUUCCCAAAACUGGUGAAUAGCCUUCCGAAAGGGAGAUUAAUACACCGUAAGAUAACUGAGUGGCAUCACUUGAUUAUUAUAGCUCCGGCGGUUUUGGAUGGGCGUGCGGCUGAUUAGGUAGUUGGCGGGGUAACGGCCCACCAAGCCUGCGAUCAGUAACUGGUGUGAGAGCACGACCAGUCACACGGGCACUGAGACACGGGCCCGACUCCUACGGGAGGCAGCAGUAAGGAAUAUUGGUCAAUGGACGCAAGUCUGAACCAGCCAUGCCGCGUGCAGGAUGAAGGCCCUCUGGGUUGUAAACUGCUUUUAUAGGGGACGAAAAAGGGACUUUCUAGUUCAACUGACGGUACCCUAGGAAUAAGCACCGGCUAACUCCGUGCCAGCAGCCGCGGUAAUACGGAGGGUGCAAGCGUUAUCCGGAUUUACUGGGUUUAAAGGGUGCGUAGGUGGGUCGGUAAGUCAGCGGUGAAAUCUUCGAGCUUAACUCGGAAACUGCCAUUGAUACUAUCGAUCUUGAAUCAUCUAGAGGUAAGCGGAAUAUGUCAUGUAGCGGUGAAAUGCUUAGAUAUGACAUAGAACACCAAUUGCGAAGGCAGCUUACUAUG
rnacentral:rRNA from 1 species